rnacentral:rRNA from 1 species
UACGGGGGGAGCAAGCGUUGUUCGGAUUUACUGGGCGUAAAGGGCGCGUAGGCGGCGUGACAAGUCACUUGUGAAAUCUCCGGGCUUAACCCGGAGCGGCCAAGUGAUACUGUCGUGCUAGAGUGCGGAAGGGGCUACUGGAAUUCUCGGUGUAGCGGUGAAAUGCGUAGAGAUCGGAAAGAACACCAACGGCGAAAGCACUCUGCUGGGCCGACACUGACACUGAGAGACGAAAGCUAGGGGAGCGAAUGGG